rnacentral:guide_RNA from 1 species
AUUUUGUAUUUAACUAUUUUAAUUUAAUUUUAUUUUUAUGUUUUGUUUUAAUAUAAU